rnacentral:misc_RNA from 1 species
UACGUAGGGGGCAAGCGUUGUCCGGAAUUAUUGGGCGUAAAGCGCGCGCAGGCGGCGGUUUAAGUUUGGUGUUUAAGCCCGGGGCUCAACUCCGGUUCGCACCGAAAACUGGAUCGCUUGAGUGCAGGAGAGGGAAGUGGAAUUCCACGUGUAGCGGUGAAAUGCGUAGAGAUGUGGAGGAACACCAGUGGCGAAGGCGACUUCCUGGCCUGUAACUGACGCUGAGGCGCGAAAGCGUGGGGAGCAAACAGG